CAUGCAAGUCGAGGGGUAUAUUUCUUCGGAGAUAGAGACCGGCGCACGGGUGCGUAACGCGUAUGCAAUCUACCUUUUACAGAGGGAUAGCCCAGAGAAAUUUGGAUUAAUACCUCAUAGUAUUAUGAAAUGGCAUCAUUUUAUAAUUAAAGUCACAACGGUAAAAGAUGAGCAUGCGUCCCAUUAGCUAGUUGGUAAGGUAACGGCUUACCAAGGCUACGAUGGGUAGGGGUCCUGAGAGGGAGAUCCCCCACACUGGUACUGAGACACGGACCAGACUCCUACGGGAGGCAGCAGUGAGGAAUAUUGGACAAUGGGCGCAAGCCUGAUCCAGCCAUGCCGCGUGCAGGAUGACGGUCCUAUGGAUUGUAAACUGCUUUUAUACGAGAAGAAACACUACUUCGUGAAGUAGCUUGACGGUAUCGUAAGAAUAAGGAUCGGCUAACUCCGUGCCAGCAGCCGCGGUAAUACGGAGGAUCCAAGCGUUAUCCGGAAUCAUUGGGUUUAAAGGGUCCGUAGGCGGUUUAAUAAGUCAGUGGUGAAAGCCCAUCGCUCAACGGUGGAACGGCCAUUGAUACUGUUAAACUUGAAUUAUUAGGAAGUAACUAGAAUAUGUAGUGUAGCGGUGAAAUGCUUAGAGAUUACAUGGAAUACCAAUUGCGAAGGCAGGUUACUACUA
rnacentral:rRNA from 1 species